GCCUAUCUGAGAAUAUAGAUCUCCAGCCACUGACCAAACUCCAAGCAGUCCCGAGGGCUGCGUUUCCCCUUGCCCACGCGUGUCUCUGCUCUGCCAGGAUCGCACCACCACUUUUGCAGCAGAGCAGAGCACUCCAAUGUGCUGAACGUGGAUUUUGUGCCUUUCAGCCCUCACUUCAGCAGCUUCCUUCCUGAAGGCGGAAUGGGGACGGCCAUCUGUAGCGACCAGGAGUGUGACUGAAUAACCUGGGCUGUCCCUGAUGUCCUCAAUCUUCUGACAGAACAACGGCCAGAGGAGCAAACAGGAGGAACCACCACCAGGAGCUCACUGGUGGCACCUGCAGCCCAUGGACACCACGGCAGACACCUCUGCAGCACUCCUGCUUACUGCCACGGAAAUGAAAGGCUGCAGCAGCACGCAAGGUGUGGCCGUGUCUGAAUGCUCUGCGUGCAAGUUGUGCACUCCCUGGGCAGCCCAGGGGAGGGAACCACUCAUCUCAACAGUCCCCAAAGCCACUCUGCCAGGACACUGCAGCACCCACUGCUAACGAGCAGCAUGACAAACUGCUAAUUCCACUUUAGGUUUUUGACCUAUGUCUCCAAGAGAGAAUAACGUUAUUAUUUGUCCCUUAGCACUGCUGCAUGGCUCAGUGCCAUUGGCCUCUUCAGCCAUAAAGAAAUUAAAAUAUAGUAUGACCAUAAAAGACAUCAUUUGAGGAAACGAACCAUUUCUAGUAAACGUAUCAUGGAUGCCAAAGCCAUAAGCUUUUCUAAAUCAAUCACCAGCUGAUGCAGGGUACAGCCCUGCAGAUACGCUGCCCCACAGUGACAGACAUGGGCCCGGAGCAGCCACAGACACUGCCUGGAGGCAGGGCUGGGGCUGAACUGCCCGUAACCCCGUGACACCUCCCUUCACCCAUCGGUUUCCACGCCUGGAACAGGGACACACCCUGUACACAGUGGUUUCUCCCAGCCGGUGGCAGACGCCGACACAAACCUGCGGCAGCACCCACCUCAGCUUCCACCAGGAUGUCCUUGUGUGGCAACGCCUCAACCCCUGAGCACCGCUGGGACACGCGUUCUGCCGCAGGGCAUGAGGCUCUGCGUGCAGCAGAAUUCCAAGCAUCCCAUCAGAGCGAAAGGGAACGAGAUGGCCGAGCGUGGCAAUGGAGCUGAGCCCUGCAGGCUCCGUUAUGGCGCUGGGCCAUAAAUGCUGCUGUGUGUGUGUCAGCAAACAUGUUGAGUGGGCUCGACUAUUGAUUCUGACCACAUAAAAAGUGCGUCGUGCCACUUGUUCAGGUUUGCGCAGGUUUUACAGCUCUUGUUCUGAGAAGUGCCCAUGUAUUUGGUUUUGCUCCUUCCUUCAGGGCUAUCUGUUGACAUUGGCUCUCUUAAGCAGAACGUUGAGCCAUGCCAGGAAGCUGAGUGUACAGCUCUCCCCGCGUUUCCCACUUUCCCAGGGGUUAUCACCUAUAAAAUCUCACACACACCCAUGCUGGGAUAGCUUUGCUGUUCAGAGCCAGGUGAAAGGUACCCACUUGUCCUGUGCUGGGGGGGUUUGGGUGCCUGUGCCCAGUGCUGGGCGCCAAACCACACAGCCUACAGGUGAGUUUUGGGGUAUAUAUGUGGACAAAGCUGUGAGGAAGGUGCUGGGAGAGCUGCUUCCUGGCCAGCUGGGAUGGGAUGAGCAAGGUGAGAGGAGAGACCUCACAGGGUUGUGAUGACAGCUGAUAUGAAAAACGGCUUGGAUGUCUGGAGGAAGUGUUGGAGCUCCCAGACAACUGUCGUGGAGAUGUCCUAUGCGUGGUGACCUGAGCUUUCACACAUUCCUCACCUCUGCUCCUCAUCCCACUGGAGAUGCCAGCACUGGCUGUGCCCAUGCUGGGGGCUCUGAGGGUCCAUGGCAAUGGUCCCCACCCACCCUGCUACUGGGGUUCCUGGCCCCACAGGCUGCAGCUGGAGUCCCUCUAGUGGCUGCAGCAUUUGGGAUGGGAACUCUGGUCACGGCUUUUUGGAGGAUCCACUCCUCAGCUGGUGCCUCUCCAUAGACACAGCUCUGCAGGAAGCUGCUUCUUGUGAAGCGCUGGGGCAUCUUCUCAAGCACAUCAUUAUUAUUUUCAGGCUUACUUAUCCUGAGGGGAUUUCCUGGGUGAUUUCUGUUGAUGCUCAGGCUGGAGUUGGACAUGAGCCAUUCCUGGCAGUGAUUGCUCCUGGCUGAGCUCAGGAGCCCCGGAGGGAAUGUGGUGCCUCUACCCGAUACCGGUGAGCUGAGUCAUCAGAUUUGGGUUCACAAUACAGCCACUGCCUUGAA